UACGUAGGGGGCAAGCGUUGUCCGGAUUUACUGGGCGUAAAGGGUGCGUAGGCGGCGCGGUAAGUCGGGUGUGAAAUCUCGGGGCUUAACUCCGAAACUGCAUUCGAUACUGCCGUGCUUGAGGACUGGAGAGGAGACUGGAAUUUACGGUGUAGCGGUGAAAUGCGUAGAUGUCGUAAGGAAGACCAGUGGCGAAGGCGGGUCUCUGGACAGUUCCUGACGCUGAGGCACGAAGGUCAGGGGAGCAAACGGG
rnacentral:rRNA from 1 species